rnacentral:lncRNA from 1 species
GGUUCUCUUUAUCAAAUAAUUCUUCUGUUAAACGUAAAUUUCGACAGAAAUUUGAAAUGUCAUCUUUAACCUCAUUAUAAUUUGAUGUUUGUGGAGUCGGGGUAAAUUUGAGUCCCUUUGAAAGUAUUUGAAUCUCUGGUGCUGAUAAUGUUAAGUUAGAGAGAUUAAUUAUUCUUGGUAUCUCACAUUUUGACGGUUCCACCGAGUGACGCGGUUUCUCUCGCCUGGUUCUAAAAAACGUUCUCUUGAAUUUCGGUUUCUUUGUUGUGGAUUCCUGUUAUUAUUUUGACUCUCUGUACUUUCGUCAUUUCUUUUAUAAUUACUAUUACUUUG